AAAGUCAACGAAACAUUAUAUCUUCCUUCUUCUUACAUUAACUUUUCCGAUCGAGUUUCCUUCUUAGAACAAUGAUUUUGUCAAAAGUGGUUAAGAUGGCUGCCGGGAGGCUUGAACAGAUGCCACCGGAGGCGCCGAAAAACAAUAUGCAAGUUGUGUUCACUUCGACUUGCCCACAGCCAUCAUUCACGCUGCCACGGACAAGGUCAUUUCCAUUUUCCAACUUCUCUUAAUAUUUUUUUUCUUCACUAAAAGUUUUUGCAUGGUUCCUAAUUAUUUAGUAGUUCUGAACCACACAUAACCAUACAUCUCGACCCAUCUCUACAUGACACAUAUUAAUCAAGGUGUCAUUAAUUGUUUUUUCUUAAAAUUUAAAAACUUAAUAUCGCGUAGAGAUUGAUUGAUGGCCGAUAGACAGGUGGUGAUCAGGAACUAUACCUAAUAAUUAUAUUUCUCCAAAUUUACAUGCAUGCAUGAUGCUUUUCCAGUUUUCUACUCUCACUUAAUCUGAACUGAAAAUUUUGAAAAUGUAGGAUAAGAAAACAGAUGCAAGUGAAUGCGAUGAAAGAAGUGAUUGUGUGUAGCUAUAUUAGGAAUAAAAGAAAUGGAAGAUAGAUGAAAAGUAGUUUUAGGAUUCAUUCAAUUCAUUCAUUCAUCAAAGUAUUACAAAGUUGAUGUAUUUAUACAAAGAUGAAAAAUAAUUAACUUGAGUAACCAAUACUAACUUACUCAAAUAACUUCUAGUAAUUAUAAUUUGAGUAACCAAUUAAUUUACUCAAAUAACUCCUAGUAACUAACUAAAUUAAUUUUAUGUCUAAUAAGCUAAAAGCCCCAGCAGAAAAAAACGGUUUGGAGCGUUUUUAUUUGCUGCUGGAUUCGCCAAGGAGGAUGUCCUCCUGAGAAAGAGAACAGCUCGGAUUCUAAAGCCGGCUUUCACAGUGAUACGUGACAAAGAAUCAAAGUGUUUGUUUGUGUUCAUCCGUGGAACAACACAGUUUCUGGACAUGCACACCGUGGUAUGGUUACUGCAGCUCGUUGGAUUAGAAGACACUGCACCACUACAUUACUUGAUGCUCUUCAUGAAAAUCCCGACUUCAAAAUCAAGAUCGGUUGGCAUUCACUUGGUGGUGGUACUGCUGCACUGUUGACAAUGCUUAGAGAAAUGAAGCAGUUCUCUUCAUGUACUUGUGUAACAUUUGGACCAG